rnacentral:rRNA from 1 species
GUCUAAGGCCAUACCACCCUGAACAUGCUCAAUCUUGUCUGAUCUCAGAAGCUAAGCAGGGUCGGGCCUGGUUAGUACUUGGAUGGGAGGCCCUUCUUAAAAACAACUACAAAUC